rnacentral:tRNA from 1 species
UAGCUCAGUUGGGAGAGCGCUAGAAUCGCACUCUAGAGGUCGAGGGUUCGACUCCCU